CCUACGGGAGGCAGCAGUGAGGAAUAUUGGUCAAUGGCCGAGAGGCUGAACCAGCCAAGUCGCGUGAGGGAAGACGGCCCUACGGGUUGUAAACCUCUUUUGUCGGGGAGCAAAGCGAGUCACGUGUGACUCAUUGAGAGUACCCGAAGAAAAAGCAUCGGCUAACUCCGUGCCAGCAGCCGCGUUAAUACGGAGGGUGCGAGCGUUAUACGGUUUUAUGGGGUUUAAAGGGUGCGCAGGCGGGGGUGCAAGUCAGCGGGGAAAGUGGGGGGACAAAACCCGGUCUGGCGUUGGAACCGGGAUGGCUGGAGUGCAGGAGAGGUAAGUGGAAGUCGUAGUGUAGAGAUGAAAGGCGUAGAUAUUACGAGGAACACAAGGUGAGAAGGCGGCAUACGGGACCGAAACUGACGUUGAGGCUCGAAAGCGUGGGUAGCAAACAGGAUUAGAUACCCGAGUAGUC
rnacentral:rRNA from 1 species